rnacentral:rRNA from 1 species
UACGUAGGGGGCGAGCGUUGUCCGGAUUUAUUGGGCGUAAAAGGCUUGUAGGUGGCCACGUCAAGUCGGAUGUGAAAUCUCCCGGCUCAACUGGGAGGGGUCAUUCGAUACUGGCGGGCUCGAGGCCGGUAGGGGGAAGCGGAAUUCCCGGUGUAGUGGUGGAAUGCGCAGAUAUCAGGAAGAACACCCGUGGCUAAGGCGGCUCUCUAGUACGGUACUGACGCUGAGACGCGAAAGCGUGGGGAGCGAACAGG